UCUGAGCCUCCUGCUCUGCUAAUUACAGGUCUGGGAGAUCAGUGGGUUGGGGGCAUGCUACGAAACCGGCUUCGCCCGUGUUUCAGAAUGGCUGGGUGGAGCUGUUUGAUGGGAUUUAUGAGGUUUUGAGUUGACAGCCCUAGAGAAGGGUAAAUCAAGGGUUUGGGGCUCAGGCGGUACCCAGAAACCUCAUCAAAUGUGUUCCUUCCCCCUACGAUGCAGAAAUAAUCCCAUUUAUGCAACCCUCAGUCCCGGCACUCGGCACUGCACGCAUCGCCUGAGCUCGGGGUGGGAGCCGGCAUGCUGACCCUCGCUGUGGUGGGGCAGCCCUGGGGACUUGGUCCCCCGCUCGGUCUGCCCCAGAGACCCCAGCCCCACUCGUGCACCGUCCUCAGCAUCAGCCAGCUCCUCCUGAAGGGGAUGCCUGCGUGGUACCCGCAUCACCGCAGGCUCUCGGGAUUUGGGGGGGAUUAUGACCCCCCUGUGGGUGUAAGCCCCCAAUCUGAGGCAGCCCCUCUUUGCUGGGCAGCUCUUUCCUUGAUAUCACGGAACAUUAUUCCCAGCAGUUCCCGUAUCACGGUGCUGUUCCUGCCUGUGCUGCCUGGACCAGAGACGUGGCUUUUCGAGCGAGCUGCCCGUGCCACAGCAAUGCAUCUUGCAGGCUGGAUCAGGGAAUGCGCGUAGGUGUCCUGCCAAAGUCACGCCAGCUUCGUUAGGAUAAUUUGCCAGCAGAAAAAUCCACAGAGCUGGAAAAACAAAGGGAAUGGGAGGUUUCCAUCAGCCCAGGCAUGAUGGGGAGCAGCUGCCGCAGGGGUGGCCCCCCCCGGGGGUGUAGCCUCUUCUCUGGAGCAUCCUCAAAGGGAAAAACCUCAGACUCCUGGGGGAGCUCGGUGCCUGACCCUGGAGAACGCAGGGCCCAUGGAGGUGAUGAAAGGACCACACGGGAAGUGGGGAAACAGCUCCCGGCGUGGGAACGUGGCCGGGGAGCGGGAACCCCCCCGGGGAAGCUGCAGCUCGAACUAUGGCAGCGGAGGGGGAUGAGGUUUGACUGUGCUCUGGCUGGGCUCCCUGCUCCAAGCGUGAGCAAAGCUAGCAGCGAGGGAAUGGUUUUGUUUUCUCAAUGGGCCAAGUAGCUGCUGGAGACCUGGAUCUGUGGUUGUGCCCAAAGGUGCAGCUUAUUCCAGGGGCACCCACCGGGAAAGCACUUGGAUGGGGAGAAAACACCCGUGUUUUCCCCUCCAGAGGCGCUUCCCCGAGGGAUGUCGGUGAGAAUCACGGGUUGCCGUCGGGUUUAACUCCCAUCUCUGCCAAAAGUAGGGCAGGAGGACGAGGCCCAGGGCCAGCGAGCAGGUCAGGGGCGGCUGCUCAUUCCCCCGCAAGGGUCUUUGCCCACCUCUCAGCUCGGUUCUCCUGCAAAUUCAGUUGGAAUGAAAUGAUUCGGUACCGGGGAAGCCAACCAAGUUAGUCUUCUCCUAUAAAGGCUGAACGAGCUGCAGUGGAUGCGGAGGACGACCCUGGCUCUGCGUGCUGGUGCUAACGAACCCACGGGGUCGCUCAGGAUGGGGCAAAGAGCAGGAGCCUUCCCCCUGUCUGCCGGUGCAUCCCGUAAGGACCACGAGCAUCCCUGGGCUCACCCAUCCCCGUGUCCUC